rnacentral:rRNA from 1 species
UGGGGAAUAUUGCACAAUGGGCGCAAGCCUGAUGCAGCGACGCCGCGUGAGGGAUGACGGCCUUCGGGUUGUAAACCUCUUUCACCAGGGACGAAGCGUGAGUGACGGUACCUGGGGAAGAAGCACCGGCCAACUACGUGCC